GAUGAACGCUGGCGGCGUGCCUAAUACAUGCAAGUCGAGCGAACGGACGCGAAGCUUGCUUCUCUGAUGUUAGCGGCGGACGUGUGAGUAACACGUGGAUAACCUACCUAUAAGACUGGGAUAACUUCGGGAAACCGGAGCUAAUACCGUAUAAUAUUUUGAACCGCAUGGUUCAAAAGUGAAAGACGGUCUUUCUGUCACUUCUAGAUGGAUCCGCGCUGCAUUAGCUAGUUGUUAAGGUAACGGCUUACCAAGGCAACGAUGCAUAGCCGACCUGAGAGGGUGAUAGGCCACACUGGAACUGAGACACGGUCAAGACUCCUACGGGAGGCAGCAGUAGGGAAUCUUCCGCAAUGGGCGAAAGCAUGACGGAGCAACGCCGCGUGAGUGAUGAAGGUCUUCGGAUCGUAAAACUCUGUUAUUAGGGAAGAACAUAUGUGUAAGUAACUGUGCACAGAUUGACGGUACCUAAUCAGAAAGCCACGGCUAACUACGUG
rnacentral:rRNA from 1 species